CCCGACUCACUUCUGAGUGGACCACACUACAGCCGUUUUUCUGAGGACACAGACAGUGAGGGGAGUUGCUUUCACGCUUUCACACAACAGUUGACGGACCGUCUUUUCCGUUAAAAAUGCAGUCAAAAUGUGAAACAGCAAAGCCACCGAUCACAUCAUAGUCAAAGCCAUGGGAGACGACACGGCUCCUGGGCGAUCUGGCGAUACCGGGCACCGUGCAAACUAAAGUGUUCUUAUUACAUUUUGUUAUUCAAAUGUUUCGAUCAUUUGUAUGUUAUGUAACUGACAAUAAAUGUUUCGUAGUACUUUUA